rnacentral:lncRNA from 1 species
CGACGGUCCAGGAUACAGGCCAAGGUGUCAGUGCGGACACAAUCGCAAGGCGGCUGUUAGGCUUCAGGGCUGGGCAGGAAACUUGCCAGGUGCUACUAGGAACGUAUCAGCCCUUUCUACAAAGCAGGUGUCUUUCCCAUCAUAAAAUGCAAAGCAAUCAGCCGUUCCCUUUCUCCCCAGCCCCCUCGUCCGGAGACCGAGAGGAUAUUUACCCUGGGCUCUUGCAGUUCUCUUAUAACUGAACCCAGCGGCGGCUCCUUCUCCGAGCUCAGAGCCAGCAGGCUCAGGCCCAGCCACACUUUACAGGCAAAUUGCCGAGCUGACCAAGGGCUUUGGCCAAGCCCGAGCUGGGCCGGGGCGUCCGGGAAGCGGAAGGAGCCAGUCUAGGAAAUCCGGGUGUGCGUGGUGGUGAAGCUGGUGGGCAAGCUUCCACUUCAGGUCCGGGGCUUUGUGUCCCGCAACAGACGCUUGGCGCCGCUCCUCUUCCAGCCUGCUGCCGCCUUCUCCGAGCGAGUGAGUUGGCGAAACUCACUCACCUGUCGGAACCCGGUGCCUGGCGGCCAGACGCGCAGAUUACAGCAAACCUUGGCCGGGACGCCCCAGCCAGGGAGGCAAGUGUGGGAGCUGCUCCUAGAGGUGCCAGCUCCCACCCCCAGCUCCGCGCCCCCUGCUCGUCCCCUUUCACUUCCAGGCGCCUUCGGCUUGGGGUGCCCAGAAGGGCAAGUCCAGCAGACGCCAGGGCUGCAGGUUCAAGAUGCUCCGCCUCCUCCUGCCACUUAGAGCCACAAACGCUAGC